GACGAACGCUGGCGGCGUGCUUAACACAUGCAAGUCGAACGGAAAGGCCCUGCUUUUGUGGGGUGCUCGAGUGGCGAACGGGUGAGUAACACGUGAGUAACCUGCCCUUGACUUUGGGAUAACUUCAGGAAACUGGGGCUAAUACCGGAUAGGAGCUCCUGCUGCAUGGUGGGGGUUGGAAAGUUUCGGCGGUUGGGGAUGGACUCGCGGCUUAUCAGCUUGUUGGUGGGGUAGUGGCUUACCAAGGCUUUGACGGGUAGCCGGCCUGAGAGGGUGACCGGCAAAAUUGGGACUGAGAUACGGCGCAGACGCCUACGGGAGGCAGCAGUGGGGAAUAUUGCACAAUGGGCGGAAGCCUGAUGCAGCAACGCGGCGUGCGGGAUGACGGCCUUCGGGUUGUAAACCGAUUUCGCCUGUGAAGAAGAGUGAGUGACGGUAAUGGGUAAAGAAGCACCGGCUAACUACGUG
rnacentral:rRNA from 1 species